ACGUGUACGCUCGAAGACGUCAGAAAGUCAGAAUGGUAUUGCAAAGCGAAUAAGGGAUGAUUGAGUAAGCGAAGCGAAGUGGCGAAUAGAGUAUAGCUAGAGAUGGUCUAGAGAUUACGAGAUGCAUAGAUUGUGAAAGUGGAGAGAUGAGAUAGAGAUGUGAGACUGGAGUCAGAUUUAAGAAAGGAUUAAAGAUGAAUGGCUAGACUAUGAUUGCGAGUAAGGCUAAUGCUAGGCGAGGAGACAGAGUUGAGGAUCCAGUGGUCGAGGAGUGUUCAGGAAAGUUGAUGAGGUUGGUGCAAGCUGGAAUAGUUGACAGUGAUUCUUCUUAUCGAAGAUGAUCUGAUUUGGUAAGAGAUGUUGUGUAAUAAUAGUGGUAGAUUCUAAUUUCAAUACUGUAACCUGGAUGCGAUCCUGUUGCUUUUAGGGGGUUUAAAUGUUCUCUUGAAAUUCUCCUAUUAUGGCUUUCAAGUUUGAAAUUUAGGUUUUAAAAUCA